rnacentral:rRNA from 1 species
ACUCAAAUGAAUAGACGGGGGCUCACACAAGCGGUGGAGGAUGUGGUUUAAUUCGAAGCAACGCGCAGAACCUUACCAGGUCUUGACAUACCGGGAUUAAUUCCGUGAAAGCGGGAGGAUUGCCAGCAAUGGUGUAACCGGAACAGGUGCUGCAUGGCUGUCGUCAGCUCGUGCCGUGAGGUGUUAGGUUAAGUCCUUUAACGAGCGAAACCCCUACAUUUAGUUACCAGCGCGUAAAGGCGGGGACUCUAGAUGGACUGCCGCGCAAGCAGGAGGAAGGUGGGGACGACGUCAAGUCAUCAUGGCCUUUAUGACCUGGGCCACACACGUCCUACAAUGGAUUGUACAAAGGGAUGCAGAGCCGCGAGGUGAAGCCAAUCCUGGAAAGCAAUCCUCAGUUCAGAUUGUGGGCUGCAAUUCGCCCACAUGAAGCUGGAAUCGCUAGUAAUCGCGGAUCAGCCACGCCGCGGUGAAUUUGUUCCUGAGCCUUGCACACACCGCCCGU